GGAUAGGUGGCUGAGUGGCCGAAAGCGGCACACUGCUAAUGUGUUAUGGGGGUGACCUCAUCGAGGGUUCGAAUCCCUCCCUGUCCG
rnacentral:tRNA from 1 species